GAAGCCCCGCCCUGAUAUAACCGCUCAGUGCACGGCCAUGGUGCUUACAUCAGCUCUAUAUAAGUAUUUGUUGCUUAAAAGUUGGGGAAUCCCUUGGACGGGCAUGGUGGCUCACGCCUGUAAUCCCAGCGUUUUGGGAGGCCAAGGCAGGAGGAUCACUUAAGCCCAGGAAAGUGGAGGGUAGGAAAGAAGGAGAAGGGUAUGGAGCCUUUUGCCAUUUAAUUUAUAUAAAAGACCCAAUAUUUUUAGUAAAGACUGGGUUUGGCACGUUGGUCAGGCUGGUCUCGAACUCCCGACCUCAGGUGAUCCACCCACCUUGGCCUCCCAAAGUGCUGGGAUUACAGGCGUGAGCUACCAUCGGACCAGGUCCACACCACACGUCUCAGAAAACGAAUCUGAAGACCAGCCUGAGCCACCCACAGCCAGGAAAGAAAACUCUGGGGGAAGAGACAGGAAAUCCUCGAUGCUGCCCCAAAGCAGAUGGAUUUGGGGGUUGGCUCUUGCCCCAGGUUGUCGGGCACACAGAGAAGGCCACCAGCUGCACCCAGAUUCACUAGCAAAGGAAGAGUCCUCAGCCCAUUCCCAGUUUGCCCCAGAGGGGACGACUUUUCAGAGAGGACAGCAGUGAGAUGCAGGAGAAGAUGUUUGUCCUGGGUUGAUCUCUGUUCCCACCUCUGCCCCUGAGCCUCACGAGUUAAAGAUGAGGCUCAGGCUGCGCGCGGUGACUCACACCUUAAUCCCAGCACUUUGGGAGGCCGAGGUGGGCAGAUCAUGAGGUCAGGCAAAAAAAUUAGCCAGGCAUGGUGGUGCAUGCCUGUAAUCUCAGCUAC
rnacentral:lncRNA from 1 species